GCAACACUGCAUCUGAACCACAUCUGCAACCUACACCACAACUAGUGGCAAUGCUGGAUACUUAACCCACCAAGCAAGGUCAGGGAUCAAACCCGCAUCCUCACAGAGACAAGUUGGGUUCUUAACCCGCUGAGCCACACAGGAACUCCUAAACAUCCUAUUUUUUAGUGGAUUACCCCCCCACACACCCCCAUGGUAGCAGCAGCUUGAUGUGGCAUCCCAAGGGACUGAACCCAGACCACAGCAAUGAAAGUGCUAAAUCCUAACCGCUGGACCACCAGGGAACUUCCCAAUAAUACCCUAUUUCUUAGGAAAGACUCACUAUACUUUAUCUCUAAUUAAGAAAACCACAAACAUUAAGUUCAAGAGAGACUUCAUUUGAUUUUACAUAAGAAAAAAGAGGAUUAUAGAUAAUUUACCCAGAGUGCACACCACAGGGAUGGACUGGGUACAAAACGUGUACAAGAGGCAAAAGCUAAACAAGCGACUGAGAUGAGCCUUUCUCUCCCCUUCCACCUCCCCACUGCCCAUCAACCCGGGACCCUUGGUCUCGUCUCAACACUGAGCACCGGGUGGGAAGACUGCCAGCUGGCAGCGUCACGGCUGGGCCUGCCUCUCCUCAAGCCCACAGACGCUCUGUGGGAUGACGCUGACCAAGAGCUUCCCACCACACACGCAGCGGCACGCGUCUACACACAGCUUCCCAUUCAAUCCUGACGGCCACCUGUUGGGAGGCUCAGGCCUCUGCGGCCUCUGGCACUCCAACCUGCCCUGCUGGCUGUGCCAAGAACGCAAGGUCCCCACCGCUCUUUGCCCAGGCCGUUUCGCAGGGCUGUGUUUGCAGCAAGCAGCCUUGAGAGAUGUGAUAAUGUCUCCCUCAGGGACAAAGCGCAGGCUUGCCUAUUGCCUGCCACAGAGGUUCCCCAGGCCCGUGUUUCUCAGCUAUGACACAAGGCACAGCAUCCAUCUGGCCCACAGUGUCACCUCCAUGGGACUUAGGGGAAGGGAAACUGACACGCACUGAUGCUUACACUCGUAAUAAAGUCCUUUGUCUCCAACUCUGGAGUUAUACAUCCAAAAAGAUGGCAAGGAGACAGGAAAAUUUCUCCCUCCUGCGUCCCCUGCUACCCAAAUCCUGUAAACCGCCUCUCUCAGAUCUUGCUACACGAUUCAUCUUCCAUCUUUAAUUCCAUUUUUUGUCCUUAAACUCAUUUAGAAUCCACGGCAGUAUGUGGUUAAACUUAAUUGAUUCUUUUCAGCAUUGAAACCCAAAUGCCCCAACAACAAAAUAAUCAUUCCUUCCCUUGCUUCUGUAUAUUUCCUGAUGUCUCAUACAUCAAGCUCCUGUGGAAGUUAGCAAUGAAGUGACUUCUUUUCCGUUCAUUUAUUUUCCUGCUUUUACCCAAGCACCAUGAGAUUUAUGAAUUGCUAUCAUACAAUGUUUUGAAGGCUCAACCAUUUUUAGACCAUGUAACAUUGGAAUAAUCUCAAUGACUCAGAGGCUCCACGUGUGUUAAAUGCCAAUAACUGCUGGUCCCCAACAUCCAUCCUUCCCUUCUUCUUCAGUAAUAGAACUUCUGGUUUGUAGGUGACAGUUUCCCUGAAUAUAUAUUACACUUCCCAGCUUCCCUUACUGCCAGAUGUGGCCAUACGACCAAGCGUCAUGCACAAUUUCUGAAAAGUGGCCCUUGAGGGCUGGAAUGUAGAUGCAAGAGCUAGAGCUCUAGCAGCCAUUUCAGGCCAUGAAGUGACCUAGGUCUGGGAAGCCAUUCCCAAGAUGACCUCAUGAUGGAACAACAAGACAGAAGGAACCGGGUCUCUGACCAUGUAGGCUCAAAACUCUGAACUGAAUACCCUCCUGAUUUCUCACACAUAAGGCAGAAACUUCUAUCUUAUUUAUGUCUUCAUUACUUUUGAGUCUUCUGUCAUGUAUACCUCAACCUACAGAAGUGGCUCUCUCAUAAAGCAAAUGAUAAAAGGUUACAUGAGAAUAUGUAUCACCAUAGAUACGCACUUUUAUAUCCUCCCAAGAGUCAAGCACUGCUUUUACGAAGAGCAGGCAACUCAAACACUUGUUGAAAUGAAUAGAAUCAGGAAGAAUGAGGCCAUUUCACUGCCUUAAUUUUUUUGCUUUUUUUAACUAAUUUAUUUUUCCAGAUAAAGAUCACUAUUUUAUCAGGUUUUAUAAAAUAUAUAAUUGGAAUUGCAUUAAAUCGUUACCAACAUUUGGGGAUGUAGUAUUGUCACUAUUGCUAUGUUUAUAGAGUCCCCUGGAAAGAGCCAGAAAUUGACUGACUGACUGACUGACUUUCAUCCUAUCAAUUCAAAACACAUUCAGUAAGAGGCUAUUCUGUAAUAAGUCCAGUCAUAAAAAUGAGACUUUGGGGUUGCCAAAGAGACAUCAGGUAAAUAAUCUCUAAGGCCACGUCCGCCAGUGCCCACCAAAUCCUGAAGGAGACGGAAGAGGCGGUGAUAAUCUCUAUCAUCACUCAAGACUAAGGCUGACGUGCUGCGCUGUCUUAUCACCUCCAGCUGUUGACCCAGAAUCCUCUUGCUUCUCCUCUUCACAGCCAGUAAAACUCCCUUAACCAAGGUUCCUGGGCCUGGUGCUUUUUCACCUUCUCUCAGGUAAACCCUCCUGUGACUCUCCAUCGUCAUGCUUUUCCUCUCCGCGUUCCCACCAGUAUGGUGCCACUCACACGCCCGACACUGUUAUGGCUGAAACGCUUUAUUUCAUACACUUGCUGUACUGGUGAGGUUUAAUCCGGUGGAGACACCUGCCGAGGGACUCAGGCGAUGAUGGCGAUACCACCAUCAUCACUGCUAUUACUGUCGUUUAUUGAACCAAUACUCUGUGACAGGUACUUUGCUGAGCACCUUACCCAUAGUAAUAUACCACUUAGUCCUGACAAUAAUUCCCUAAGGUGGGUAUUGUUAUCAUACCCAUUUAAAGUGAGAAAACUGAGGCCCAAAGAGUUUGGAUAACUUAUCCAAAGACACACAUUUAUAAGAGUAUCCUACCUGGCUACAGCAGUGAGUCCUUGGGCAGAGGCGGGAUCUGAACUCAGCUCAGUCUGCCCCCGACUCUCAACCACUUCUCUAUGUUCCAUCCCACAAGAGCUGAACAUGUUAUGUUCUGUAUAAGUACAUGCACUCCUGUCUGUCUGUCUGUUUUCUCCUCUUUGCCUAAGCACUGGGGUUUCCCAACUCAGCGAAUGUUAAUCUCUCUUCUUUUUCCUUUCCUGGCGGGUGAAAGGCUUCACACCAGGGUGGUUGGCCCUGGGAUCAAGGAAGCUGCUUCCCUCGAGUUACCCCUGAUCCUGUCUCACUGCUCCUCUGCUGUGGCUUUCAGCACCAGGGUCAGUGGCAAGCAGGUCUCAGCCUCCACGCUACACUCCUAGGUCUUUGGGUUCAGGGUGAUACUUAGAAAACACGUUGGAUCAUAGAUCAGUUUCCCACUGGCUCUCUCAGACUAAAGACUCUCACCAGGUUCUGUUAGCUGAUCUCAGGCAUCUGGUGUACUGGGUGGAUAAAUUUUCACUUUUGCCAAUGUGGGACCCUCCUUCCACCAGCAGUCUGAGUAGAUCUCAGGUACCCUAAUAACCGUGUACAUCUUGGAAAUUCCACAGCAGGCUUUCCCCUGCUACCCAAGCUCAAGACACAUGGGGGAACCAAGGAUAUACUCCCAGGUCACAGGACUCCCACAGCACACUCGUCCAGUAUGAAUGGUUUUAUCAUCUUCCCAGAACUUCCUCCAACAGGUCUGGCAGCUGCCUCUCCUGGGACGUAGACACGUUCCCCUUCCCACUGAGGCUGCAGACCCACCCUAAACCCCAGAAUGCUGGAUGGGGCCCCAACUUUCCUGCUUCAGGAGCCAGGGAUUUCAGCCAAAGGACCAGCAACAGAGGCUGUGAGUGGACUGCUCUCAAAGGUUCUGAGGCUGGAGAAGACUGGCUGCAGCCAAGAGCCACCCUCAGAGGCUUGUGUACCCUGGGGUGAUGGUAACUAAAACAACCUCUCUCACGUGGGAAUGGCUCUGACAUUA
rnacentral:lncRNA from 1 species